UACUACCGAAGCUACGGCAUCAGUAAUGAUGGGUAGGGGAGCUUCCCAUACGGGUUGAAGCAUGACCGUAAGGACAUGUGGACAGUAUGGGAGUGAGAAUGUUGGCAUGAGUAGCGAGAUGUGGGUGAGAAUCCCACAGGCCGUAAACCCAAGGUUUCCAGGGGAAGGUUCGUCCGCCCUGGGUUAGUCGGGACCUAAGCUGAGGCCGAAAGGCGUAGGUGAUGGACAACAGGUUGAUAUUCCUGUACUACCGAUAACCAUUUGAGAGAAGGGAUGACACAGUAGGAUAAGCUAAGCACACUGUUGGUUAUGUGUGCCCAAGCAUUGAGGCAGUCAAAGUAGGCAAAUCCGCUUUGAUAAUGCUGGGAUGUGAUGGGGAGCGAAAUUUAGUAGCGAAGUAGCUGAUUUCACACUGUCAAGAAAAGUCUCUAUCGAGGUUAAAGGUACCCGUACCGCAAACCGACACAGGUGGGUGAGGAGAGUAUCCUAAGGCCAGCGAGAGAACUGUUGUUAAGGAACUCGGCAAAAUGACCCCGUAACUUAGGGAUAAGGGGGGCCACCAUCAGGUGGCCGCAGAGAAUAGGCCCAAGCGACUGUUUACCAAAAACAUAGGUUUCUGCUAAGUCGCAAGACGAUGUAUAGGAGCUGACGCCUGCCCGGUGCUGGAAGGUUAAGGGGAUCUGUUAGAG
rnacentral:rRNA from 1 species